rnacentral:rRNA from 1 species
UGGGGAAUAUUGGACAAUGGGCGAAAGCCUGAUCCAGCCAUGCCGCGUGUGUGAAGAAGGUCUUCGGAUUGUAAAGCACUUUAAGUUGGGAGGAAGGGCAGUAAGCGAAUACCUUGCUGUUUUGACGUUACCGACAGAAUAAGCACCGGCUAACUCUGUGCCAGCAGCCGCGGUAAUACAGAGGAUGCAAGCGUUAAUCGGAAUUACUGGGCGUAAAGCGCGCGUAGGUGGUUCGUUAAGUUGAAUGUGAAAGCCCCGGGCUCAACCUGGGAACUGCAUCCAAAACUGGCGAGCUAGAGUAGGGCAGAGGGUGGUGGAAUUUCCUGUGUAGCGGAGAAAUGCGUAGAUAUAGGAAGGAACACCAGUGGCGAAGGCGACCACCUGGGCUCAUACUGACACUGAGGUGCGAAAGCGUGGGGAGCAAACAGG